GGAGUUAGCCGGUGCUUCUUCUGUGAGUGAUGUCCUUCCUGCCGGUUAUUGACCCGCAGGCCUUCUUCCUCACUGAAAGUGCUUUACAACCCGAAGGCCUUCUUCACACACGCGGCAUGGCUGGAUCAGGGUUGCCCCCAUUGUCCAAUACCUUCCCCACUGCUGCCUCCCGUAGGAGUCUGGGCCGUGUCUCAGUCCCAGUGUGGCUGAUCAUCCUCUCAGACCAGCUACGGAUCGUCGCCUUGGUGAGCCGUUACCUCACCAACCAGCUAAUCCGACAUAGGCUCAUCCGAUAGCGCGAGGCCCGAAGGUCCCCCGCUUUCCCCCGUAGGGCGUAUGCGGUAUUAGCCUGGGUUUCCCCAGGUUAUCCCCCACUACCGGGCAGAUUCCUAUGCAUUACUCACCCGUCCGCCGCUCGCCACCAGGGAGCAAGCUCCCCGUGCUGCCGCUCGACUUGCAUGUGUUAGGCCUGCCGCCAGCGUUCAAUCUGAACCAAGAUCAAAUUCUGA
rnacentral:rRNA from 1 species